UACGAAGGGGGCUAGCGUUGCUCGGAAUCACUGGGCGUAAAGGGGGCGUAGGCGGUUCUUUAAGUCAGGGGUGAAAUCCUGGAGCUCAACUCCAGAACUGCCUUUGAUACUGAGGAUCUUGAGUUCGGGAGAGGUGAGUGGAACUGCGAGUGUAGAGGUGAAAUUCGUAGAUAUUCGCAAGAACACCAGUGGCGAAGGCGGCUCACUGGCCCGAUACUGACGCUGAGGCACGAAAGCGUGGGGAGCAAACAGG
rnacentral:rRNA from 1 species